rnacentral:rRNA from 1 species
CCAGCUCCAAUAGCGUAUAUUAAAGUUGUUGCAGUUAAAAAGCUCGUAGUUGGAUUUCAGGGAUCGAUGGAGGCCCGGUCUGCCGGGAAGGCGUGUACUGGCCUUGUCGCCCUUCCUUCCGGUUUGCGCCCGGGUGCACUUCACUGUGUGUUCGGGAGAGCUCCGGAUCGUUUACUUUGAAAAAAUUAGAGUGUUUAAAGCAGGCAUCACAAAUGCGCCUUGAAUACAUUAGCAUGGGAUAAUAGAAUAGGACUUUGCGCUUAUUUUGUUGGUUUCUAAGCGAUAGAGUAAUGAUUAAUAGAGAUAGUUGGGGGUAUUCAUAUUUCGUUGUCAGAGGUGAAAUUCUUGGAUUUAUGAAAGAUGAACUUAUGCGAAAGCAUUUAUCAAGGAUGUUUUCA